rnacentral:tRNA from 1 species
CAAAUGAAAUCUUAAAGUAAGAAUUGAAUUUUUAAUUCAAAUAUAAUAAAUUAACGAUUAUUUCAUUUGA